rnacentral:rRNA from 1 species
UACGGAGGGGGCUAGCGUUGUUCGGAAUUACUGGGCGUAAAGCGCACGUAGGCGGCUUUGUAAGUUAGAGGUGAAAGCCCGGAGCUCAACUCCGGAAUUGCCUUUAAGACUGCAUCGCUAGAACGUCGGAGAGGUGAGUGGAAUUCCGAGUGUAGAGGUGAAAUUCGUAGAUAUUCGGAAGAACACCAGUGGCGAAGGCGGCUCACUGGACUGGUAUUGACGCUGAGGUGCGAAAGCGUGGGGAGCAAACAGG